rnacentral:rRNA from 1 species
AGUGAACGCUGGCGGUAGGCCUAACACAUGCAAGUCGAACGGCAGCACAGUAAGAGCUUGCUCUUACGGGUGGCGAGUGGCGGACGGGUGAGGAAUACAUCGGAAUCUACUUUUUCGUGGGGGAUAACGUAGGGAAACUUACGCUAAUACCGCAUACGACCUACGGGUGAAAGCAGGGGAUCUUCGGACCUUGCGCGAUUGAAUGAGCCGAUGUCGGAUUAGCUAGUUGGCGGGGUAAAGGCCCACCAAGGCGACGAUCCGUAGCUGGUCUGAGAGGAUGAUCAGCCACACUGGAACUGAGACACGGUCCAGACUCCUACGGGAGGCAGCAGUGGGGAAUAUUGGACAAUGGGCGCAAGCCUGAUCCAGCCAUACCGCGUGGGUGAAGAAGGCCUUCGGGUUGUAAAGCCCUUUUGUUGGGAAAGAAAAGCAGCAGGUUAAUACCCCGCUGUUCUGACGGUACCCAAACAAUAAGCACCGGCUAACUUCGUG